rnacentral:rRNA from 1 species
UACGGAGGGGGCUAGCGUUGUUCGGAAUUACUGGGCGUAAAGCGCACGUAGGCGGCUUUGCAAGUUAGAGGUGAAAGCCCGGGGCUCAACUCCGGAAUUGCCUUUAAGACUGCAUCGCUAGAAUUGUGGAGAGGUAAGUGGAAUUCCGAGUGUAGAGGUGAAAUUCGUAGAUAUUCGGAAGAACACCAGUGGCGAAGGCGACUUACUGGACAGAUACUGACGCUGAGACUCGAAAGCGUGGGGAGCAAACAGG